rnacentral:rRNA from 1 species
GACAGAGGUGCCGAGCGUUAGGCGGAAUCACUGGGCUUAAAGCGUGUGUAGGCGGGCGGGCAAGUACCUUGUGAAAUCCCACGGCUCAACCGUGGAACGGCUGGGUAUACUGCCUGUCUUGAGCCAACUAGGGGCGAGCGGAACAGACGGUGGAACGGUGAAAUGCGUAGAUAUCGGAAGGAACACCUGUGGCGAAAGCGGCUCACUGGACCAUUACUGACGCUGAUGCACGAAAGCUAGGGGAGCAAACAGG